GGGCCCGUAGCUCAGCGGUAGAGCGCCGCCCUUGCAAGGCGGAGGCCUCGGGUUCAAAUCCCGACGGGUCCA
rnacentral:tRNA from 1 species